GUAGCAUGGGCUUUGGUGCCACUACCACCACCCACUACACUGUCUUUUUGUAUCUGGGGCUGAUGCUGAAGAUGGUUGAAAAAGAUCCCAGAAAGAUUUCCAAUACCAGUUGGAGCUAUGACAAAAAGCUUUGGAGGAGAAUUUAACUGUAUAUUUAGGACAGGUUGUCAGAAUGCCCACAUUGCUGUACUGCUUAUCCACAAGCUGGGUCACAUGAUAAGGAAGUCCCAGAAUAGCACACGUCUUUCUCGCCCCUAUGGUGGCUCUGGUUCAGCAGGAUCUAGUGACAAAACAAACAUUGGAAAUGGUGUUGUAAUGUAUGAAAAUGCAGGAAGGGAAGCUCGAUUCUUAAAGUUUUUGUAUUCUAGUUUUAUUCAAGUGAAUUUGUAUGAUACAUAUAGUGUUUUAAUAUAAUCAAGAGACUCUAUAAUGUAAAAAUGGUGUUUGAGGUGUCAUU